UACGAAGGGUGCAAGCGUUAAUCGGAAUUACUGGGCGUAAAGGGUGCGUAGGCGGUUAUUUAAGUCUGCCGUGAAAUCCCCGGGCUCAACCUGGGAAUUGCAGUGGAUACUGGCAGGCUGGAGUAUGGUAGAGGAAGGUGGAAUUCCCGGUGUAGCAGUGAAAUGCGUAGAGAUCGGGAGGAACACCAGUGGCGAAGGCGGCCUUCUGGACCAAUACUGACGCUCAUGCACGAAAGCGUGGGGAGCAAACAGG
rnacentral:rRNA from 1 species